CUGAAUAUCCCGCUGGGAGUAUGCUCGCAGAGGAAACUCAAAGGAAUUGACGGGGGCCCGCACAAGCGUGGAGUAUGUGGUUUAAUCGAUCAACGCGAAGACCUUACCAGGGUUUGACAUCCUGCGGAUCUUUUGGAAACAGAAGAGUGCCUUCGGGAGCGCAGAGACAGGUGGUGCAUGGCUGUCGUCAGCUCGUGUCGUGAGAUGUUGGGUUAAGUCCCGCAACGAGCGCAACCCACGUCGUUAGUUGCCAGCAUUCAGUUGGGCACUCUAGCGAGACCGCCGGUGAUAAACCGGAGGAAGGUGUGGAUGACGUCAAGUCAUCAUGCCCCUUACAUCCUGGGCUACACACGUACUACAAUGCUACGGACAAAGGGCAGCAAACUCGCGAGAGCUAGCAAAUCCCAUAAACCGUGGCUCAGUUCAGAUCGUAGGCUGCAACUCGCCUACGUGAAGGAGGAAUCGCUAGUAAUCGCAGGUCAGCAUACUGCGGUGAAUACGUUCCCGGGCCUUGUACACACCGCCCGUCACACCAUGGAAGUUGGCCACGCCCGAAGUCGUUACUCCAACCCUUGUGGAGGAGGGUGCCUAAGGUAGAAUUAGUGACUGGGGUGAAGUCGUAACAAGGUAACCGUAAAGACUGGAGAUCUG
rnacentral:rRNA from 1 species